AACGAACGCUGGCGGCAUGCCUAACACAUGCAAGUCGAACGAGACCUUCGGGUCUAGUGGCGCACGGUUGCGUAACGCGUGGUAACCUGCCCUUAGGCUCGGAAUAACUCCCCGAAAGGGGUGCUAAUACCGGAUAAUGUCUUCGGACCAAAGAUUUAUCGCCUUUGGAUGGGGCCGCGUUGGAUUAGCUAGUUGGUAGGGUAAAAGCCUACCAAGGCGACGAUCCAUAGCUGGUCUGAGAGGAUGAUCAGCCAGACUGGGACUGAGACACGGCCCAGACUCGAACGGGAAGCAGCAGUGGGGAAUAUUGGAGAAGAGGCGAGAGGCUGAUCCAGCAAGGGCGCGUGGGUGAUGAAGGCCUUAGAGUUGUAAAGCUCUUUUACCCGGGAUGAUAAUGACAGUACCGGGAGAAGAAGCUCCGGCUAACUCCGUG
rnacentral:rRNA from 1 species